GACUUAGUAGUGUAGUGGUCUAACACACGAGCCCCGGAUAGGCGCGAGGCGCGGGUUCGAAUCCCACUUAAGCCG
rnacentral:tRNA from 1 species